UACGUAGGGGGCAAGCGUUGUCCGGAAUCAUUGGGCGUAAAGCGCGUGUAGGCGGCCAGACAAGGCCGCUGUGAAAACUCGAGGCUCAACUUCGAGCUGUCGGUGGAAACUUUCUGGCUAGAGUCCGGAAGAGGAGAAUGGAAUUCCUGGUGUAGCGGUGAAAUGCGCAGAUAUCAGGAAGAACACCCGUGGCGAAGGCGGUUCUCUGGGACGGUACUGACGCUGAGACGCGAAAGCGUGGGGAGCGAACAGG
rnacentral:rRNA from 1 species